GGAGAGAUGGCCGAGAGGUUUAAAGCGUCGGAUUGCUAAUCCGUUGUACGAAAUACCUUUGUACCGAGGGUUCGAAUCCCUCUCUCUCCU
rnacentral:tRNA from 2 species